AAACCGAUCCAGACUAAUCACAUUCAAAGUGAAGACACUGGCAAACAUGUUGAUAACUAUAAAAGAGGGAAGAAUCUUGCACAUGACAGAUCCAUAUGGCCAGUGAUGGUCGAGAAGAAUCUCCGCCACAUUGAAAGCGAUGUACACAACAAAGACAUUUCCUGGAACUCCGAGGAGAAACGUCAGGCAGAAGAAAACCAGAGAAGUCUCUCUCAUAGGAUUCCUCUCUUCUGAAGAUACAAGCUCUUCUAGGUAUCCAGUGCUAUCUCUGCCCCCAUUGGCUACUCCUCUCCUGGGGAAGGAGCUCAUGGGACUGGGACUGGGGCUGCUGUCAGCUGAGUGACCUGAACCGGAGCUCUGCAGCGAGGCCUUUGACCU